UUCCUUUUUUCAAAUAAUCCCUGGUGCUCUUAGCCUUUUCUUGGAAUAAGGACAGAAAAUUUAAAAAGUAAUCAUCCUUGGCGUCUAAGAGCUACUUUCUCUUUUCCUUUAUUUGCCUACCUUAUUCUACUUUCUGGGUUACAAGCUCACUUUUCUACUCACUGAUCACCUUCUACUUCCUGGGACAUGAGUUCACCUUCAAUUUAUUGAUCUAGUUCUACUUCCUGCAUCAAAAGCUCACCUUUCCACUCACUGACUUUGUUCUGCUUCCUGGAUCAUUAGCACACAUCUCUUCACUGACUUUUAUUUGCUUUUUGGCUCUGCUGACUAGAAUCUAGACAUUCUACAGGUUCCCAUUGAACCUGGGAAACAAAGAAGCAAAAAUAAGAACUAUUACCUUCAUAGUUCUUGCCUUAUAAGCAUUAUCAAGAAUGAAAGAGACCUCUGUCUAUUUGAAAUUUCUUUGUCUUCAAAGUGGCAAAAUAUUAGAGAACCUAACAUUUAGGCUGAGGCCACAAAGAGUCUUUAAAGACUCAUUCUCUGAACAUAAGAAAGGGGUAUUACAGUUAUGAAUUCAGACCCUGUCGGAAUGUUGUCACAAUGAGAAUAAUUCAGCCUAGAAGCAGUGAAUCUGGAAUACCACUCAACUUUGUUAAUGGAGACAUCUAUGUAUGGGUCCUCUUCCUUUUAAACACAUACAUACAUGCAUACAUAAAUAUCAUGGGGAUCAGGUCAACUUAAAAAACUAUAAGCUAUUAAAGAACACUCCUAACCACUCACUCCUGGGUAGACUCCACAUACAAGGGAUGUCAUGCAAUAUUUUGUCUUCUCAGUCUCCUGUAGGCUUUUGAAUUUGCCAUACCUAUGUCACAUCUUAAUCCUUAGAAAAUCUUUACGAGGACCUUCUGAGAAGUGCAAUACGGCUGCUCUAGAUGCUUCUUCCUCAGGAUGCCUGUUCUUUAUUGGCCUCCCUGUCUCCAUGGUAAUAGGCCAGUGCUCAUCGCCCACCCCCACCUGGCCUCCAGGCCCACAGCCUUUGGGCCUCAGCAGGAGGAGGGCCCUCGGGGGUGCCCUGCGCUGCAGCCCCAGGACAUUAACAGCUCCAUGGGUGGCUGCCUGGCAGUUCUUCAUCCAGGAUAUAAUUGCCCCGAGGUGUGCUGACAAUGCACUUGUGUGCAUCGAAUCAAGAACAGUCACUUUUCAAUAAAUCACUCUAGCCAGGUGGUCGCCAAAGCUAGUCUUCUGAGAAGCUUGGGUUACAAGGCAACCAUGGCCAUAAUUCAUCAUUAGAAACAACGGCAGACCUGGAAUCCAUCCCGGGCAUGAAGGACCUCUCCAGUUUUAUAACGGAGAGCCACAGAGUUCCAUAAAAAGAAUAACAGGAAAAUUCAGAUUUCAUCCAAGCAAACCUAGAGAUGGUGCCUUUCUUCUUUUACUGAGCAGUUGUGGGGACCUGCUCAAAUUGCUUCACCUAUCUGAAUAUAGAUUUGCUCCUUUGUAAAAUGCAAGUAAUAAUAUAUACCUUAUAAAAUUGUGAAUUUAUAUGUGAGUAGUGCCCAACAUGCAAUGACAAUUAUUAAUAUUAUUUUUAUAAUGGGAGAGAGGCUCAUAAGUUUUGGAAUAGAAGAUAGUCAUCAAAUAAUUAAAAGAUAAGAUCUUCCAAAUCAAA